rnacentral:rRNA from 1 species
ACGAACGCUGGCGGCGUGCCUAAUACAUGCAAGUCGAACGGUCUUUCUAUGGAAGCUUGCUUCCACUGAGAAGAUAGUGGCGAACGGGUGAGUAACACGUGGGUAACCUGCCCAUAAGAGGGGGGAUAACAUCCGGAAACGGGUGCUAAUACCGCAUAGUUUUCUUGAUCGCAUGAUCGGGAAAGGAAAGACGGCCUUUGUGCUGUCGCUUAUGGAUGGACCCGCGGCGUAUUAGUUAGUUGGUGAGGUAACGGCUCACCAAGACGAUGAUACGUAGCCGACCUGAGAGGGUGAUCGGCCACAUUGGGACUGAGACACGGCCCAAACUCCUAUGGGAGGCAGCAGUAGGGAAUCUUCCGCAAUGGACGAAAGUCUGACGGAGCAACGCCGCGUGAGUGAAAGAAGGUUUUCGGAUCGUAAAACUCUGUUGUCAGAGAAGAACAAGUUGGAGAGUAACUGCCCCAGCCUUGACGGUAUCUGACCAGAAAGCCACGGCUAACUACGUGCCAGCCGCGGC